GAAAGUCUGCCGCCCUAGGCCGGGCCUUUGUGGUUUUGCCACAAAUACGGGCCUGACUGUAGUCUGGAUACAAUUUACCAAAGGAUAAAACAAUGAAGCCCUUGCUAUAUAUUAUACGUUACUCCACAUAGUGAGGCAGAGAGCUGUGCUGGCCUGGCACGUUGGUGUGCCGUGCAUUGAAGAGAGCCAGGUGGUGCAGGAUUCUUCUGACUGGGCUGACUGUUGUUGGAGAAGUUGGAGAACAAUGAGCAGAGCACUGAGCAGUGAGUUAUUACAGUUUUUCUGCCGUACGCUGCCGAUCUGCUAUCUUACAGUGGGGACAGGAAUCAUGACACCACUGUGGCCCUCUGAAGAGCUGGAGAAGGAGAUCAAUACGCUGUCAGUGAAGUGCCAGGGAGGAGAAAUCGAGCCCAGCAGGAUGGAUGCUCGCCCUUUCGCCUUUUCUGUAGAGGACAGGAAGUGGAGUUUCUGAUUCAACAAGCCAGCUAAGGUGGACAAUAACUCAUCUACUAAAGAUACAAAGUAGAAGAUAUUUCAGUCAAACAAGAUACACACUGAAAUUGUAUUUCAAUUGAAUUACAAAGUAUCUCAUACCAAAUGUCAAUAAAGAAUGUAAUUUGUUACAAUUACAAAUAUCUUACAAAAAAGUUUCUUUAUUAUCUCUUCCUCUCAAGGAAUAAAGAGUUACACUGUUUAUUUCAAAAAUGUGUUUUUUCACUCUUAUUUGAAAACAGGUAUACUUAAGGAUAGUCAUCACCAGUCUUCCGAAAAAUUCUGACAGGAACAAGAUCUCGCGAGAUUUAAGAGAUCCUGUUCCUGUAACUUCUUCCCGCUCUUUUCAGAGCAUCAGAAGUUUCCAGCGAUCAAUUCGGGAGGCUGCCGCCUAACCUAACAGCUGUUGCUAGGUGGCUAUCCUUAUUCCCUAGAACAAAUAGAGUUCGCAGAUCAUAGAUUCCUGCAAACUCCUCUGUCUUGCUGCCAGCAAGUGUGACAGAGGCUGGUGAGCCUAAAUCCCUAGAGAGAUGAAGGGACUGGCAGAUGCUAGUGAGCUUGAGUCCCAUGAGGGGAAGUCAGCAGGGCUGAGUGAGAAGCCCAAAGGCUCUGAAGUUCCAGAGGGUGAGCGUUUCCCUUGAUGGUGAUCGACCAGAGUGGGGAGAA